GACGAACCGUGCGAACGUUGUUCGGAUUCACUGGGCUUAAAGGGCGCGUAGGCGGGUAACCAAGUCAGGGGUGAAAUCUUUCGGCUCAACCGGAAAAGUGCCUUUGAUACUGGUUACCUCGAGUGGGGUAGGGGCAUGUGGAACUUCCGGUGGAGCGGUGAAAUGCGUAGAUAUCGGAAGGAACGCCGGUGGCGAAAGCGACGUGCUGGACCCCUUCUGACGCUGAGGCGCGAAAGCCAGGGGAGCAAACGGG
rnacentral:rRNA from 1 species